GGAAGGGGGAAAGGGGUUUAAACUUACCUUUUUCCAGCGCUGGGCGGAGAGCUCUCCUCCUCCUCUCCGCCUCCGUUACGCCCCGCCGGCUGAAUGCGCACGCAUUCAGCCGGUCUCAUAGGAAAGCAUUUACAAUGCUUUCCUAUGGACGCUGGCGUGCUCUCACUGUGAAAAUCACAGUGAGAAGCACGCAAGCGCCUCUAGUGGCUGUCAGUGAGACAGCCACUAGAGGAUUAGGGGGAAGGCUUAACCCAUUCAU